AAGUCAGAAGUGUUGACCAUGAAAGCGAAAAUAUUCGCCGUUCAACCCAAGAGGCAAUUUGAAUAGGCAAAGAAGCAGCGUAGGUGUUUCCUUCCCCGGGCACUUCUGGCUUUGCCGUGGCACACCAACUCUCACAUAUCACAAUACAUGACGACCUUCUUCUCAAUUAGCAACAGCAAUGAGUGCCACCAACUCUAAGAAGCUUUCUUCUCCUUCACCUACCAUUCACCAACGUAGGCUCACCCGACAGAGGAAGCUUCGUUACCUCACUGACAAAGACGCUGGUCUGCAUUCAACUUCCUCUCUACCCGCUUCUCCUCUUCCUUCCUUUAAGUCCGCUUCCAGUUCCGACCAUUGGUCUUCCUCUGCGGUUCCUCAACCCCUUCCGCGUCCCGAUUCCCCGUUGACCCGCCGACACGACCAUCAUCACCUCGGAUCUCCCCCUUUCGAACAUCCUGCUUUCGCUUUUCACAGAAGGUCGGUUGAUCAUGAUCCUGUGAGGAGUUUAAGGUCUGCGAGCAAUUUGAGUAGACCUUCUUUUGAUCCGGCGACUCCAAAUGCUAAAUUUGAUUUGAGAGUAAAUAUUCCGCCUGCAAGAGUGUUGGCAGGCAAUACUAGUUCGUGUAAAGAUCAUAGAGAACUCUCUCAUGACAAUGACUCUGAAAAUGUUUCCAACUUGAGAUUGCAUUUUGCGGCCAAGAGUGCCCCCAACAGCAUAUUCUCCAGUCCUGUUACUAGUCCACGUAGAUCCAGCAAUGUAGAUUUCUAUGAUCCUUCCAUAAUUUUUCCACAAGAUUUUAAUGACAUUUUGAAAGUGUCACCGGCUAAAACUGCUCAGAGUCCAGACCUGUCUCCUCUGCGCAGCCCUGGGAGUCACCUCAAUCAAGAGGGGUCUCAGCUUCGUAAAUUUAGCUCCAGAGUGUGGCCUGAAAAUAAUCAUGUGGAUGCACAUCCACAUCCACAUCCACUGCCCCUUCCUCCUAGAGCUUCACCACAGACCACACACUCAUCUCCGCAGCAACAACCAACUAUGGCAAACCUCACCACUGAAAACUCACCUUCAAUGAAAGGUCAAUGGCAGAAAGGAAAACUUAUAGGGCGCGGAUCAUAUGGAUCUGUUUAUCAUGCAACCAACUUAGAGACUGGAGCCUCGUGUGCAAUGAAAGAGGUGGAUCUGUUCCCUGAUGAUCCUAAAUCUGCUGACUGCAUAAAGCAACUUGAGCAGGAAAUCAGAAUUCUCCGUCAGUUACACCACCCCAACAUUGUGCAGUAUUAUGGCAGUGAAAUAGUUGGUGAUCGAUUGUACAUAUAUAUGGAGUAUGUUCAUCCUGGAUCACUUCAUAAGUUUAUGCAUGAACAUUGUGGAGCUAUGACAGAGUCCGUGGUUCGCAAUUUCACACGACAUAUUCUCUCUGGAUUGGCAUACUUACAUGGUACCAAGACUAUUCACAGGGAUAUCAAAGGUGCAAACUUGUUGGUCGAUGCAUCAGGCAGUGUUAAGCUUGCAGAUUUUGGGGUGUCAAAAAUUCUGACAGAGAAAUCAUAUGAACUUUCAUUGAAGGGAAGUCCCUACUGGAUGGCUCCUGAGCUCAUGAAGGCUGCCAUAAAGAAAGAAUCCAGUCCUGACAUUGCCAUGGCCAUUGAUAUAUGGAGCUUAGGGUGCACUAUCAUCGAAAUGCUGACAGGAAAACCUCCUUGGAGCGAAUUUGAAGGGCCUCAAGCCAUGUUCAAGGUACUGCACAAAUCCCCGGAUAUACCUGAAAGUUUGUCUUCAGAGGGACAGGAUUUCCUUCAGCAGUGUUUCAAAAGGAAUCCAGCAGAACGACCAUCAGCAGCAGUGCUUCUUACACACGCCUUUGUACAAAAUUUGCAUGAGCAAGAUGUUCAAGUUCAUUCACAAGGGCAAAGCUGUCCCAGAGGAGACGCUGGACCAGGAGAUGAUUCACGUAGGCAUAGUCCCAGUAACAGUUCAAGAAACAGCCGUGGCGUAGUGUCAGCAUCCUUUCGCGCACGGUUAUUUAACAAAAUUCAUAAUUUAAUAGGUGACACUUCAAAAAAAUAUGAUUUCGAGGAUUCUAAUCAUGUCACAUCUUCUCGUGAUUCUCCUUGAACAGUCCUCAGUCUCCCUUGAAACCUAGUGCCCAUAACCACAUGACUGUAACCAAUCCCAGCAACAUCCCCCUCAGUGCUGUUAUGAAAAUCAUCAGGAACAUGUGAAGCAUGUCACAGCUAAGAUUUCGAUUGAACUUAGAAGGGUCGUGACAGGGACUGGAGCAUAAAUUUCUUCGGGAGUUCAGCACUCUUAGUGGAUAAGGGCAAUUAUCAUAGCAGGGAUUUAGAAGCUAGACAGUCUUACACGAUAUUGAAAAAUAUAUCAACCUGAAGUGUUAAAAGAAAUGAUAAAUUCACAUUCAUUUGCAGUUAUUAUGUACAUAAUAACAAGCUAGGUUAGUUGAACCUAUUACCAGGCGACAAAUUCACAUGUAAAUUUAAUUGAUUAUAUGAUAUUUUAGGAUUUUGUCUUUUAUUUUUUUAUUUUACAUUUAAGAGUAGUAUGCAAUUUACAU